GGAGGGGUGGCAGAGUGGUUGAAUGCGGCGGUCUCGAAAACCGUUUAGCCGGCUUAACCGGCUACGAGGGUUCGAAUCCCUCCUCCUCCGCCA
rnacentral:tRNA from 4 species